GAUGAACGCUGGCGGCGUGCCUAAUACAUGCAAGUCGAGCGAACAGACGAGGAGCUUGCUCCUCUGACGUUAGCGGCGGACGGGUGAGUAACACGUGGAUAACCUACCUAUAAGACUGGGAUAACUUCGGGAAACCGGAUCUAAUACCGGAUAAUAUAUUGAACCGCAUGGUUCAAUAGUGAAAGACGGUUUUGCUGUCACUUAUAGAUGGAUCCGCGCCGCAUUAGCUAGUUGGUAAGGUAACGGCUUACCAAGGCGACGAUGCGUAGCCGACCUGAGAGGGUGAUCGGCCACACUGGAACUGAGACACGGUCCAGACUCCUACGGGAGGCAGCAGUAGGGAAUAUUCCGCAAUGGGCGAAAGCCUGACGGAGCAACGCCGCGUGAGUGAUGAAGGUCUUCGGAUCGUAAAACUCUGUUAUUAGGGAAGAACAAAUGUGUAAGUAACUAUGCACGUCUUGACGGUACCUAAUCAGAAAGCCACGGCUAACUACGUG
rnacentral:rRNA from 1 species